UACGAAGGUUGCGAGCGUUGUUCGGAAUCACUGGGCUUAAAGCGCAUGUAGGCGGAUGAGUAAGCGUUUUGUGAAAUCCCUCGGCUUAACCGGGGAAUUGCUUGGCGAACUGCUCAUCUUGAGGCAAGUAGGGGUGCAUGGAACUCUUGGUGGAGCGGUGGAAUGCGUAGAUAUCAAGAGGAACGCCAAUGGUGAAGACAGUGCACUGGGCUUGUUCUGACGCUGAGAUGCGAAAGCGUGGGGAGCGAACGGG
rnacentral:rRNA from 1 species